GGAGAGAUGGCCGAGUGGUCGAAGGCGCUCCCCUGCUAAGGGAGUAUGGGCUCAAAAAGCUCAUCGAGGGUUCGAAUCCCUCUCUCUCCG
rnacentral:tRNA from 1 species